GAUUGGGGACAACAGUUGGAGACGACUGCUAAUACCGAAUGUGCCUUAGGGUGAAAGAUUUAUUGUCUAGAGAUUGGCUCGCGUCAGAUUAGCUAGUUGGAGUGGUAACGGCACACCAAGGCGACGAUCUGUACUUGGUCUGAGAGGAUGACCAGGCACACUGGAACUGAGACACGGUCCAGACUCCUACGGGAGGCAGCAGUGGGGAAUUUUCCGCAAUGGGCGAAAGCCUGACGGAGCAAUACCGCGUGAGGGAGGACGGCUUUUGGGUUGUAAACCUCUUUUAUCAGGGAAGAAUCGAUGACGGUACCUGAUGAAUCAGCAUCGGCUAACUCCGUGCCAGCAGCCGCGGUAAUACGGAGGAUGCAAGCGUUAUCCGGAAUUAUUGGGCGUAAAGCGUCCGUAGGUGGUUUAUCAAGUCUGCUGUCAAAGCGUGCGGCUUAACCGCAUAAGGGCAGUGGAAACUGAUGAACUAGAGUGCGAUAGGGGUAACAGGAAUUCCCAGUGUAGCGGUGAAAUGCGUAGAUAUUGGGAAGAACACCAGCGGCGAAAGCGUGUUACUGGGUCUGCACUGACACUGAGGGACGAAAGCUAGGGGAGCGAAAGGGAUU
rnacentral:rRNA from 1 species